rnacentral:rRNA from 1 species
UACGUAGGGUGCGAGCGUUAAUCGGAAUUACUGGGCGUAAAGGGUGCGCAGGCGGUUAUAUAAGACAGAUGUGAAAUCCCCGGGCUCAACCUGGGAACUGCGUUUGUGACUGUAUGACUAGAGUACGGUAGAGAGGGGUGGAAUUCCUGGUGUAGCAGUGAAAUGCGUAGAUAUCAGGAGGAACACCGAUGGCGAAGGCAGAUCUCUGGGCCGUAACUGACGCUGAGGAGCGGAAAGCAUGGGGGAGCGAACAGG